rnacentral:lncRNA from 1 species
GUGGCCAUGAACUGCCAACAAAGGGCUUUCACCUAGCAUGGGCUACUGGGCUGGGGACUCUAAGUUGAAAGGCUAAGCUGCCACUGAAAUUGCCUUAGCCCAUUCACAGGUUUAACGCAUGAGCAAACUCCUCAUGCUGUGUGCACAGGUGGGAGGCAGGCUGGCAUGUGUGGCAGCCAUCGGUGAGAGUUUGAGGGAGCUGUUCACACAGCCUGCCCCAUCUGCCUCUGACCAGCCCUGGGGAGGUCCAGACGCUGGCUCAAGUUUCUCAGGGUACAGAGAAACAAACUGGACAUCAGGUGGAGGGAGAAUUGGUAUUGCCAAAUUAUCUUCUUUCUCAGUGAGGGUCAGACUCCUCCAAGGACAGACCAUGUUCCCACGCCUGAGGUGUUCAAAUCUAACUUAAAACAAC